UAAGGUAAUUAAUGGGUGAUGUUGCCUUCCUGCCUGGCUCCCUGAAUGCCAUCUGAGAAGCACACCACCGUGCCUGGCGUGGCUCCUGGUUGGCAUUGAGGGAGUCAUGCAGGGUUGCAGGGUACGUCCUCGCUUACUCCCUUCA